UUUGGUUUGGUUGAUGAUCUAUACGACCCUAGCCAUAGACCACCAACAUCCAAUAUCAUUAUCUCAGUUUCAAUGCCCUGAGUCCAAAUCCAUGAUUAAAUUUAUGAAAUUCUUCACCAAUUAAACAAACCAAAACGAUUCACACAUGAACCAUAACUAGCAAUUCGUAAAAUUAAACUCCAAUCAUCCAGAAUCGAAGCCCUAGGGGUUGGACCUUUAAUUCCCCAAGCCAAAACCUACAUUCUGGUAACUAAUUUGACGCAAAUCAAGAGAAAAACUCAAAGACUCACCGGCGGAGAAGAUGCAGAGGGAAACAGUAUUUAGGGCUAGUUUGAGUGGAAUGCAAGGCUUGAUGCUUGGAAUUAUGAUGUGCCAUGCAUGAACAUAAAGGAACAAUGAUUACUUGAUAGUGAAGUUAUGCCAUGAAUUUAAAAUAAAAGCAUGAGGAAACCAAAUGGAAAUUAGGAAAUAGGUUUGAUGAUUAGAUGAGUUGACUAAAAAGUCAACAUUUGACCAAAGUCAACAUUUGACCAAAGUCAACAGUUGACCAAAGUCAAUUAUAGGUGAAAAAUCAGUUUUUUAUAAUUUCUUUGUAUGAACAAUGUAUGGGCAUGAUAUGUGCGAAUGUAAUGAAAGUUUUCUUUGAAUGAGAAAAGCUCUUAUGACUAA